rnacentral:rRNA from 1 species
AGAGUUUGAUCCUGGCUCAGGAUGAACGCUAGCUACAGGCUUAACACAUGCAAGUCGAGGGGCAUCGGGGGAGAGCUUCGGCUUUCCCGCCGGCGACCGGCGCACGGGUGAGUAACGCGUAUCCAACCUGCCCAUGGCUGGGGGAUAACCUUGCGAAAGCAAGCCUAAUACCCCAUGGUCUCCUUCCGGGGCAUCCCGGCGGGAGUAAAGGAGCGAUCCGGCCAUGGAUGGGGAUGCGUCCGAUUAGCUUGCCGGUGGGGUCACGGCCCACCGGGGCGACGAUCGGUAGGGGUUCUGAGAGGAAGGUCCCCCACACUGGAACUGAGACACGGUCCAGACUCCUACGGGAGGCAGCAGUGAGGAAUAUUGGUCAAUGGGCGCGAGCCUGAACCAGCCAAGUAGCGUGCAGGACGACGGCCCUAUGGGUUGUAAACUGCUUUUGCGCGGGGAUAACUUCCGCCACGUGUGGCGGCUUGCAGGUACCGCGUGAAUAAGGACCGGCUAAUUCCGUGCCAGCAGCCGCGGUAAUACGGAAGGUCCGGGCGUUAUCCGGAUUCAUUGGGUUUAAAGGGAGCGUAGGCCGCGCGUCAAGCGUGCCGUGAAAUGCCGUGGCUCAACCAUGGCACCGCGGCGCGAACUGUCGCGCUUGAGUGGGCCCGAGGCAGGCGGAAUUCGUGGUGUAGCGGUGAAAUGCUUAGAUAUCACGAGGAACCCCGAUUGCGAAGGCAGCCUGCCAGCGCCGCACUGACGCUGAAGCUCGAAGGCGUGGGUAUCGAACAGGAUUAGAUACCCUGGUAGUCCACGCGGUAAACGAUGGACGCUCGCCGUGGGUCCUAUAUGGUUCCGUGGCCAAGCGAAAGCGUUAAGCGUCCCACCUGGGGAGUACGCCGGCAACGGUGAAACUCAAAGGAAUUGACGGGGGCCCG